GAGUUUGAUCCUGGCUCAGAUUGAACGCUGGCGGCAGGCCUAACACAUGCAAGUCGAGCGGAUGACGGGAGCUUGCUCCUUGAUUCAGCGGCGGACGGGUGAGUAAUGCCUAGGAAUCUGCCUGGUAGUGGGGGACAACGUUUCGAAAGGAACGCUAAUACCGCAUACGUCCUACGGGAGAAAGCAGGGGACCUUCGGGCCUUGCGCUAUCAGAUGAGCCUAGGUCGGAUUAGCUAGUUGGUGGGGUAAUGGCUCACCAAGGCGACGAUCCGUAACUGGUCUGAGAGGAUGAUCAGUCACACUGGAAUUGAGACACGGUCCAGACUCCUACGGGAGGCAGCAGUGGGGAAUAUUGGACAAUGGGCGAAAGCCUGAUCCAGCCAUGCCGCGUGUGUGAAGAAGGUCUUACGGAUUGUAAAGCACUUUAAGUUAGGGAGGAAGGGCAGUAAGUUAAUACUUGCUGUUUUGACGUUACCGACAGAAUAAGCACCGGCUAACUCUGUGCCAGCCGCCGACCG
rnacentral:rRNA from 1 species